UAUAUACACUAGCUUCUCGUAAAAUAUUAGCUGUAAAUAUAUAACAAAUCAUCUGUCUUACAUUUUCCUACAGUUGGCGAAAGUGGGACAGGAGUAAAAUGUUUCAGUUUGAAAUGGCGAGCCUCAAGAAUAAUACAAUAUCUUUGUUGUUGUCUUUGUAUUGUAUUGUUAGUACACUGUACUUAUUAUAUGCCUGAAAAUAGCUUCUGUAUUAAGAUCAAGCGUUCAUGGACGUGAUCAGUAACAAAUCAACAACAGGUUUUUGUUAUAAUGCAGACAACGCUGCAAAAGAAGUUACAAGUAUAUGAGGAUCAGAAAUCUGGUAAAAAUCACGUUCUUCACUCUCUAAUUCUGAUUCCGUGUAAUCCUUUGGAGACACUUGUUUAGUAACUCAAAGUCAGAGCAGUUUCUGAAAAUUUACUUUACAAUGCCCAUGACAACAUUUAGUAGGAGUAAUUAAGCGCUUAUACAUGCUUUGGUCGUUGGUACCUAUUGUAUUCGAACCAAGUGUCUGGUCCAUUGAAACAUAAUCCAUAUAAUGGUUCAAGGUUUGUAGGCAGAGCGCAUUAUACGCUUUGGAGUAUACUAUUCUAGUGUCAUAUGCACCAAAGCGAAUAUUAUUAGGUAUCAUGUUCUCUCGAAAUCACGUUUUCAGUAAUAUGUCAUUCAUAAACAAUGAAAGAAAGAGGAGUGAUGCGAGGAAAAAGAAAUACUUUCUCGAGCAAGACAGGCAAAGCAUUCAUGAUCUAUUGUUAAAAAUUCAAACAUCAUUUCCCACAAACAUUCUCUUUCGCUAUAUAAGGUACACUCUCAAGUUAACUACUAGCGAUAAUGACAUACAAUUUCUGGUAUUUGUACUGCCUGUGAAUUGACGCAUUUUAUCACUGUUUUAAUUUUUCUAGUUAUAAUAAAGGACAUUAAAAAAGGAUUAUGUGAAGAAUAAUUACCAUUGCGUUGAAUUUCUUUUGAGAACAUGCCUCAAACAAACUCAUCAUCUCUCUAUACAACAUUAUCAUUAGAGGCCAUGCAGCACAAUAUAAAAUGUCCAUUGAUUUGACAUGGCUCGUAUAGCAGGGUUUGGGUCUCCUGAAAGAGUGCAGUAUAAUAAUGUAUUGGUUGUGCUUAAGCAUGGUGUCUUCCAUGUCACAUUAAAGUAUGCAAUGCGAGAAAAAAUGAGCCUUUAAAUAUGUGGACACGCGUUAAGUUUAUGUAGUGCUAAUGUCUUGCCCCUACAUAUAAAUGGGCAGUAGUAUAUUCUCAUAUACAUCACGAAAGGCUAGUUUGCAAAUCUUUGGAAAAACCAACCUUGAAUAAUUUGAAACGUCAUGGUUGAAGAAUUUCUUACUGAAGUUUAAUCAGGAAUCAGAUAGUUCUUCUUUAGACUUUCAAAAACAUUUCAGUUUACCCAAUUUGAAAUGGAUGACUGUGUAUUACUCAGAGCUGCAUAUUGCCUAGAGAGCCUUCAAGAAUAUUUCCACUCUAAAGAAAAUGCGUCUGCUCGUUAUUUCCUUAAUGACUCGCAGUUCAUUUUCUUUCCAAUUUAAUCUUUUACAUUUAAUGUUGUAGCAUUCACAUAGCCAUUCUGGUACAAACUGAACGGUUUGGUCGUAUUGGUAUGAUUAAGUUUAGUGACUUCUAUUUUAUUGGUGAUGGUACCCUAAAACAAUACUGAGGAGUGUCAUCUAAUCAUAUUGAUUAUUAUGUAUAUCUUGAUAAAUAGAGCUUAAUUUUUCAUUAGCGACAUGUUCCUUGUAAAUGGUUGCACCACGUAAGAGCAGUGAAAAAGAGGUUCGUUCCCAUCCAUUCUGUCAUUGCUACUGCUGAUAUUACAUUGAGUUGCGGUUAAUAUUCGUUCUGGGAGAUAUGCUAGGAUCUACGAAGAUCCCAGAUAAAUAUUUUUAUUAGAAGGCAACAUAUUAAUUAAAUAAAAGAAGACUCAUGAAUUUUAAGACUCACACUAUCGAACUAAUUAUAUACAUGUACUAAUUCUCAUACAUAAAAAGAGGAAAAAAUAUGUAACUGAAGGAGAAGAAAAUAGAUUUCAAAGAAAUCAUCUCAGGUCACAAGUUGUAUUACAGAACAUCAAAGCCUGAAUAUCGUUCAAAGGUUAUAUGUCUGUACACUGUGAACAGGGCUUUUUAUAGAUGGCAAGAGUGUUUCCUGAAGAUAUAUUUGCUCAUAUCAAUUCAUGAAGUGCAGGUAGUCGGUAACACGGACCCCUUCGGCAACGUACAGGAUCUUCUGGAACUGCAAAUCAUGUGGUAAAGAAUUUCAUGAGGUAUGAACCGAUAGUAACUCCUGUAAUAAUUUUUACAUAUUGGUAGCAUAUUUUUGGAGAACUGGUUGCUUUUGCAGAACACAGUAAAUAAAACGUUAAUGGAGCUUUUUCAUUGCUGGUUUAAUCAGAAUUGAUUUUUAUGACACAUAAGAACACUUCCAUCAAUUAACACAGUUAAUGUCAACUAUAAAAGUAAAAGCUGAAAUCCUUUAACGUUUCCAGGUGGGAUAAUCUUGUAUCACUAGAAAACA